CAUUUAGAUGCAUGGACGAGAGAAAAAAGAGUUGUGAUGCCAAUAAAGAUUGCAUGUCAGAACAGUUCACCAUGUUAAAUGAGAUGACUACUAUCACAUCUAGGCUGUCAACAAAAAGAAGACAACAAUGGGUAACUACAUUAGUCAUUUUUGUUACACUGCACAAAACCAAACCAAUACUCUUCUCUUUGGUGCUUUGCUCCUCAUCAUACUUUCUAGAGUUCUAGUUUCUUUCCAACCUUUAUAAGACUGCAAUCAUCUAUAACAGAAGUAACCAGCAAAGAAAGCAGAGGGGGGGAAGUUCAACCACUCCCGAUUACAUCCUAAAGCAAAGGUAGCCACAGCUCAAAAUCUCUGGCAUACGAAACCAAGCGCAUUACAGAAGCAAAAAACAACAGCGCUAUGCUCGAACACCUCAGUCAUGACUAGCAAAUCAAGGACAGAUGAUCUUUAUCUCCAGUCUUGGGACCCAAAAGAUCCAACUACUCCUCGCACGGAACACCUCAGCUUUGACUAGCUCCAGUGAUCUUGCUUGUUGUUUUCAAGAGUCCUUCACCUGCCAAAUCAGACAAACAAUCAAUUCAGUAAACCACUCGAAAAAUGACAUCAAUGGGUUCAGCAGGCUACUUCUGCUGGAAGCAUGCAAGGUUGUGUGCUUUCCAUAUGUACUCUAGAAGACAGAUGCUACCCCAACAGUGCAGACCGUCCUAGAUUCAGCCCCCAUGCCCUUUAGCCAAAUAUGGAAGCAUGAUUCAGGAUCACUGAAAUUAAACCCUAUCCCAGUUGACACACCAACAACAUUCCAUACAAACCUAGCAAGGGGACAAUAAGAAAAUAAGUGCUUGAUACUCUCAUUCCGUGCAAUCAAGUUUUCGGAUCAUCCUAGCCUCCAGGAAAUCAAGGUUACAAGCUUCCAAAGCAGCAAAAGAAACAGGGACUCCUAGGUACUCAAGGGGAAGAGUUCCAACAGGGCAGCCAAAAACAUCAGAGUAAAUUCAGCAACUGAAUUUCCCCCCCUCUUAGAAUAGUUCAAUUUCAGUCCAGACAUAAGCUCAAACAUAUAAACAGAAGGCUGAGAUUAAUAGCUUUAUCAGGAUCAUGACUAACACAUAAAAUCGUGUCAACCUUAACUAGAAUGUGUAAUUAGAAUUAAAAUGAGCAAUCUGGAUAGGACCAUUUGACAUCACAAAGCAUCAACUGGCAUUGGUUUAAUAUCAACAAAUCAUGUCGUGUUCUUGGAUAUCUUAGGUCUAUUCUAUGGACAUGUUGGAUUCAUUUAUGUAAGACAAGAGUUGCGUGAGUAGAAAAGAGUCAAGAUAAGGUACUCUUGAAUUGGGCAUAGGUUAGGGCGGACAUAAAUGACAAUGAAAUGAUAGAUUCGGAAGACUUUAAUAGAUUACACAUGUACUAAGACCGAGUGCAACCCAGGCAAAAGGUUAGAUAAAUUUGGAUAUGGUAUGUGUGCAACUGUCAUAACAUACUAAAUAUUGUUCUGGUAGCAAGAGUAAUGAUCUGACACACAAAAAUCAUGUUAAGUACGUAAUAAGUUGGUUCAGUUAAGCGUAAAGAUACAAGUACCACAAAGUCACAUGUACACACAUUCAGAAUGUAAACUAUGAUUCCCCACAAAAAAAAAUGUAAACUAUGAUAGCAGCAAAGUGAAAUGGGAUAUUUUAGAAGUUUUCAGAGAACGUAUUCCUAUAAUUUUGCAUGAUAGCCAUGACAGUACUAUAUAUGAAACUGAAAUCAUAUUUGUGAGUAUGUGAAUCAAGAUGAUGUGAUUGAAUGACCACGCCCCACCAAAGCAAGUUACGCUCAAUCUCGCUGAUAACUAGAUUUUCAUAGACAACCAGAUAGAGCAGUUAUAAUGUUAUACAAAAAUCUACAGUACGUGACAUACCCACAAUCAAAUCAUUAUGUGAAUUGCAACAUGCUGCUAACAGCACAACAUUACAGUACUAAUCCAAGCGCGAUUACGAACUCGAUCCACAUUGCAAACUCUAAGACCAGGUUGAGGAGCCCUUCCUGAUGCACCCCGGCGGCCUUUCCGACCCCAGACUACGGCCAUGAGCGGAGAGGAGAGGAGGGGAGGGAGCGGCGGUUCGUACCUACGCGGAACUGGCGUCGUUGUCUCGGUCGACACCGGGAGAGGUGUCUGGAGUCGCGGACGGAUCGGAGUCGGUGGCCGCGCCGAGCACCCGAGGGGCGGGGCGCCCUGGGUCGGGAUUGGCCCCUGCGGACUCGCCGAGGGAGCCAACCCCCGGUGUGGAGGAGGCGGCGGCGGUGUCGUCGUCUCCCCGCGCCCUCUUCACGCCCCGCGGCGCGGCUUCCACGGAGGGAGACG
rnacentral:lncRNA from 1 species